rnacentral:rRNA from 1 species
GUCCACGCCGUAAACGAUGGGCACUAGGUGUCGGGGGUAUCCACUCCCUCGGUGCCGCCGCUAACGCAUUAAGUGUCCCGCCUGGGAAGUACGGUCGCAAGAUUAAAACUCAAAGUAAUUGACGGGGGCCCGCACAAGCGGUGGAGCAUGUGGUUCAAUUCGAUGCAACGCGAAGAACCUUACCUUGGUUUGACAUCUGGCGAAGACGCCUGAAAGGGAGUCGUGCCCGCAAGGGAGCGCCAAGACAGGUGCUGCAUGGCUGUCGU